UCUGCUAGUUUUACCUCCAAUGACAUUGAAUGGUUGAACCCUAGCAGAAGGGAAUUUCAAGCAUCAGCAUGUGGUCAUUAUACAAGAUCCAGUGGUUUCUUGGGCAUAGGAGCAGACGUGACCUUUAAAACCUCAGCCUUUCCUGGCACAUAUGGAGGACCAAUUGAAAAGACACCUCAGCAAGAAACAUUUUAAGGGAAG